GCUGAGAAUGAGCUGGGAAGGAGUUCAGCAAACAUCUUUAUUACUGUGACAUUUUCACCUGGAUCAUGGAGAUCAGCACUCAUUGGAUCAGCCGCUGCAGUUUUCCUCGCUGUGACUCUCCUCUCCGUGUUCCUACUGAUCAGAAAAAAGAGAAACUCUC